rnacentral:rRNA from 1 species
GGUUAAGCGACUAAGCGUACACGGUGGAUGCCCUGGCAGUCAGAGGCGAUGAAGGACGUGCUAAUCUGCGAUAAGCGUCGGUAAGGUGAUAUGAACCGUUAUAACCGGCGAUUUCCGAAUGGGGAAACCCAGUGUGUUUCGACACACUAUCAUUAACUGAAUCCAUAGGUUAAUGAGGCGAACCGGGGGAACUGAAACAUCUAAGUACCCCGAGGAAAAGAAAUCAACCGAGAUUCCCCCAGUAGCGGCGAGCGAACGGGGAGCAGCCCAGAGCCUGAAUCAGUGUGUGUGUUAGUGGAAGCGUCUGGAAAGGCGCGCGAUACAGGGUGACAGCCCCGUACACAAAAAUGCACAUGCUGUGAGCUCGAUGAGUAGGGCGGGACACGUGGUAUCCUGUCUGAAUAUGGGGGGACCAUCCUCCAAGGCUAAAUACUCCUGACUGACCGAUAGUGAACCAGUACCGUGAGGGAAAGGCGAAAAGAACCCCGGCGAGGGGAGUGAAAAAGAACCUGAAACCGUGUACGUACAAGCAGUGGGAGCACAGAGCAAUCUGUGUGACUGCGUACCUUUUGUAUAAUGGGUCAGCGACUUAUAUUCUGUAGCAAGGUUAACCGAAUAGGGGAGCCGAAGGGAAACCGAGUCUUAACUGGGCGUUAAGUUGCAGGGUAUAGACCCGAAACCCGGUGAUCUAGCCAUGGGCAGGUUGAAGGUUGGGUAACACUAACUGGAGGACCGAACCGACUAAUGUUGAAAAAUUAGCGGAUGACUUGUGGCUGGGGGUGAAAGGCCAAUCAAACCGGGAGAUAGCUGGUUCUCCCCGAAAGCUAUUUAGGUAGCGCCUCGUGAAUUCAUCUCCGGGGGUAGAGCACUGUUUCGGCAAGGGGGUCAUCCCGACUUACCAACCCGAUGCAAACUACGAAUACCGGAGAAUGUUAUCACGGGAGACACACGGCGGGUGCUAACGUCCGUCGUGAAGAGGGAAACAACCCAGACCGCCAGCUAAGGUCCCAAAGUCAUGGUUAAGUGGGAAACGAUGUGGGAAGGCCCAGACAGCCAGGAUGUUGGCUUAGAAGCAGCCAUCAUUUAAAGAAAGCGUAAUAGCUCACUGGUCGAGUCGGCCUGCGCGGAAGAUGUAACGGGGCUAAACCAUGCACCGAAGCUGCGGCAGCGACGCUUAUGCGUUGUUGGGUAGGGGAGCGUUCUGUAAGCCUGUGAAGGUGUACUGUGAGGUAUGCUGGAGGUAUCAGAAGUGCGAAUGCUGACAUAAGUAACGAUAAAGCGGGUGAAAAGCCCGCUCGCCGGAAGACCAAGGGUUCCUGUCCAACGUUAAUCGGGGCAGGGUGAGUCGACCCCUAAGGCGAGGCCGAAAGGCGUAGUCGAUGGGAAACAGGUUAAUAUUCCUGUACUUGGUGUUACUGCGAAGGGGGGACGGAGAAGGCUAUGUUGGCCGGGCGACGGUUGUCCCGGUUUAAGCGUGUAGGCUGGUUUUCCAGGCAAAUCCGGAAAAUCAAGGCUGAGGCGUGAUGACGAGGCACUACGGUGCUGAAGCAACAAAUGCCCUGCUUCCAGGAAAAGCCUCUAAGCAUCAGGUAACAUCAAAUCGUACCCCAAACCGACACAGGUGGUCAGGUAGAGAAUACCAAGGCGCUUGAGAGAACUCGGGUGAAGGAACUAGGCAAAAUGGUGCCGUAACUUCGGGAGAAGGCACGCUGAUAUGUAGGUGAAGUCCCUCGCGGAUGGAGCUGAAAUCAGUCGAAGAUACCAGCUGGCUGCAACUGUUUAUUAAAAACACAGCACUGUGCAAACACGAAAGUGGACGUAUACGGUGUGACGCCUGCCCGGUGCCGGAAGGUUAAUUGAUGGGGUUAGCGCAAGCGAAGCUCUUGAUCGAAGCCCCGGUAAACGGCGGCCGUAACUAUAACGGUCCUAAGGUAGCGAAAUUCCUUGUCGGGUAAGUUCCGACCUGCACGAAUGGCGUAAUGAUGGCCAGGCUGUCUCCACCCGAGACUCAGUGAAAUUGAACUCGCUGUGAAGAUGCAGUGUACCCGCGGCAAGACGGAAAGACCCCGUGAACCUUUACUAUAGCUUGACACUGAACAUUGAGCCUUGAUGUGUAGGAUAGGUGGGAGGCUUUGAAGUGUGGACGCCAGUCUGCAUGGAGCCGACCUUGAAAUACCACCCUUUAAUGUUUGAUGUUCUAACGUGGACCCGUAAUCCGGGUUGCGGACAGUGUCUGGUGGGUAGUUUGACUGGGGCGGUCUCCUCCUAAAGAGUAACGGAGGAGCACGAAGGUUGGCUAAUCCUGGUCGGACAUCAGGAGGUUAGUGCAAUGGCAUAAGCCAGCUUGACUGCGAGCGUGACGGCGCGAGCAGGUGCGAAAGCAGGUCAUAGUGAUCCGGUGGUUCUGAAUGGAAGGGCCAUCGCUCAACGGAUAAAAGGUACUCCGGGGAUAACAGGCUGAUACCGCCCAAGAGUUCAUAUCGACGGCGGUGUUUGGCACCUCGAUGUCGGCUCAUCACAUCCUGGGGCUGAAGUAGGUCCCAAGGGUAUGGCUGUUCGCCAUUUAAAGUGGUACGCGAGCUGGGUUUAGAACGUCGUGAGACAGUUCGGUCCCUAUCUGCCGUGGGCGCUGGAGAAUUGAGGGGGGCUGCUCCUAGUACGAGAGGACCGGAGUGGACGCAUCACUGGUGUUCGGGUUGUCAUGCCAAUGGCACUGCCCGGUAGCUAAAUGCGGAAGAGAUAAGUGCUGAAAGCAUCUAAGCACGAAACUUGCCCCGAGAUGAGUUCUCCCUGACUCCUUGAGAGUCCUGAAGGAACGUUGAAGACGACGACGUUGAUAGGCCGGGUGUGUAAGCGCAGCGAUGCGUUGAGCUAACCGGUACUAAUGAACCGUGAGGCUUAACCUUACAACGCCGAAGCUGUUUUG